GUUGGUAUUUUUUCACCAAAAGAAUUUGAUUCAAAGGUAAGAAUUCUACACAUUAGGAGAGCCUUCUGAAAUCAUGAGCAGUAGUAUUUUGGAUUGUUGGGCAUUGCUUCUCAAUGAAAAUCAGAAAUAUUUGAAGGAUGGACCUCGGAAAUUGUACUUUGGUUCUUCAAUUAGUGUUACAAUAGUAGAAGCUGCCGGCAGUGAUGGCAACAAAUAAUGGACAAUGUUUAUCAAGGUUUAGAGGAGUGGAUGAAAAUAGCUUGCAAUGAUUUUGAUUUGUUAGAAGUUGAGCUGGUAAUACUUUCUGUUUUUUUAUGCUUUAAAAAAUAUAGUUCCCUUUUUUUUAUGUUAUAGAUACCUUUUUUUAAAUGAGAGUGACCGUUGAAAAUUGCAUAAGUAUAUUUUUAAAAGAGGUUACUAUAAUAUCAAAAAUGGAAUCUAAUAUGUGUUUUUUUUUUUUAUUGUGACUAAUUGUGGUAUUAUUGUUGCAGAUAUUUUAACCUUGUCUUUGGGGCAAUCACUAUUGCUUAUUUUGUGGUGAAUUUGACUAAAGGAAAAAUUCAGUUUAUUGUUAAUCUGAAUUAUGAUGAGGAUAAUCGUAUCUUUUUGAUAAAGUUGUCUAGUCUCCUGUGUGAUAUGAUCAGUACCUACUUUGAUCAAAGGCUUACUCAAUCUGGAGAGAUGGUUGACUACGCUUUGGAGUUUCCCACUUUGAAUUGGAGAUCUAGCAAAUAUAAUUCAGAUUCUGGUGUUUAUAUUAUGAUGACCAUGCUUUUAUUCAAUGGAGUUGGUGAGUUUAAAUAUGAAG